UACGUAGGGGGCUAGCGUUGUCCGGAAUCAUUGGGCGUAAAGAGCGUGUAGGCGGCCCGGUAAGUCCGCUGUGAAAGUCCAGGGCUCAACCCUGGGAUGCCGGUGGAUACUGUCGGGCUCGAGUCCGGAAGAGGCGAGUGGAAUUCCCGGUGUAGCGGUGAAAUGCGCAGAUAUCGGGAGGAACACCAAUGGCGAAGGCAGCUCGCUGGGACGGUACUGACGCUGAGACGCGAAAGCGUGGGGAGCAAACAGG
rnacentral:rRNA from 1 species